CCUACGGGAGGCAGCAGUAGGGAAUUUUCGGCAAUGGGGGGAACCCUGAACCAGCAACGCCGCGUGAGGGAAGACGGUUUUCGGAUUGUAAACCUCUGUCCUCUGUGAAGAUGAUGACGGUAGCAGAGGAGGAAGCUCCGGCUAACUACGUGCCAGCAGCCGCGGUAAUACGUAGGGAGCGAGCGUUGUCCGGAUUUACUGGGUGUAAAGGGUGCGUAGGCGGCACGGAAAGUCUGGUGUUAAAGGCAGAGGCUCAACUUCUGUACGGCACUGGAUACUUGCGAGCUAGAAUGCAGUGGAGGUAAAGGGAAUUCCUGGUGUAGCGGUGAAAUGCUUAGAUAUCAGGAGGAACAUCGGUGGCGUAGGCGCUUUACUGGGCCGUAAUUGACGCUGAGGAACGAAAGCCAGGGUAGCAAAUGGGAUUAGAUACCCGAGUAGUC
rnacentral:rRNA from 1 species